rnacentral:rRNA from 1 species
CACAAUCACUUGUCCCUUAAAUGGGGACGCGUAUGAAAGGCAACAUGAGAGAAAACCUGUCUCCUAAGGAAUGCCAAUGAAAUUGAACUGCCAGUUCAAAAGCUGGUAUAAAAAAGCAAGACAAAAAGACCCUGUGGAACUUUAAUUAACUGCUUUACAUAAUAAAACCAGUAAUUUCAGUUGGGACAACUUUAGAAAAAAUAAACUUCCUAAUUUUACUAGACUAACUAGUCCAAAACAACCAUGACCCAGUAGUACUGAUUAACGAAACAAGCUACCCCAGGGAUAACAGCGCUACCUUCUCAAAGAGUUCAUAUCAACAAGAAGAUCUACGACCUCGAUGUUGGAUCAGGGUACCCAGACGGUGCAGCAGCUGUCAAUGGUUCGUUUGUUCAACGAUUAAUACCCU